GGAUUCGGCCAUGCCACCCAGAACACGCCCGAUCCCGGAUAAACAGGGUCGGGCCUGGUUAGUACUUGCAUGGGAGACCACCUAGGAAGACCGGGUGCUGUAGGCG
rnacentral:rRNA from 1 species